CAAUAAAUGAAUAACCAUCAUUUGCUUAUUUUGUUUUUAGUUUACUUUUUGGGAAGAUAGUCAAUGUUAUGAAGAAUUUAAACUGGAUUUUAAAAAAUGCAAAAUUUUCCUAUUUUUAUGGUUAUUUUAUCAAUACCAGCAUUUACGAAUAGUCAAAGUGGAGACCAUUUAUGUGGAAGUGAAUUAACACUUAUGUUAGAAUUAGUAUGUGGAGGACAAUACUUUGGCAGUGCUAGUCAUUCAAAACGUUCGUCGCUCCUUUUUUCUAUAAAUGGCAAUAAAAUGAAAUCAUCUGAGACUCAAAAAGCAGAAUUAAAAUCUAUUAAUUUACAGAAACGAGCUGGUGUAGUAGAUGAGUGUUGUGUCAGCAGUUGCACAUUUGAAACUUUACAGUCUUAUUGUCUUCAUCCUCAAUCAGAGACACAGAACAGUAAAGAAGAACAAAAAGAAACAGACAGAAUAUCAACAACAACUACGCCCGCUGUAUCUACAACCUCUUCUUUAUUAAUGAUUCCAGACACAACAACACAACGGAUAAGGUCACGACAGAGAUCCCGAUGGUUUUUUCUUUAUGCUUUAGGACGCAACCCAACUCGUCAGCCUCAUUAUCCUUACUAACUUGCAACUUACUUUGUCGCAAAAUAUAUGUGACUUUUAUAUUGUGGUUAUUGUUUUUUGUUAAUAUUAUAAAUGUAGACGCCAA